GUGGUACCCGGUCCUCAGGUGCAACCCCCUGCGUGGUCCUCUGUGGCAGCCUUCUCUCAUUCAGAGCUAAAAAGAAAACUCGGUAGAAGAUAAUGGCAAGUCCAGACUGGGGAUAUGAUGACAAAAAUGAGUCUCACUCUGUCGCCCAGGCUAGAGUGCAAUGGCAUGAUCUAGGCUCACUGCAAUCUCUGCCUCCCAGGUUCAAGUGAUUCUCCUGCCUCAGCCUCCCGAGUAGCUGGGACUACAGGUCCUGAACAAUGGAGCAAGCUGUAUCCCAUUGCCAAUGGAAAUAACCAGUCCCCUGUUGAUAUUAAAACCAGUGAAACCAAACAUGACACCUCUCUGAAACCUAUUAGUGUCUCCUACAACCCAGCCACAGCCAAAGAAAUUAUCAAUGUGGGACAUUCCUUCCAUGUAAAUUUUGAGGACAACGAUAACCGAUCAGUGCUGAAAGGUGGUCCUUUCUCUGACAGCUACAGGCUCUUUCAGUUCCAUUUUCACUGGGGCAGUACAAAUGAGCAUGGUUCAGAACAUACAGUGGAUGGAGUCAAAUAUUCUGCCGAGCUUCACAUAGCUCACUGGAAUUCUGCAAAGUACUCCAACCUUGCUGAAGCUGCCUCAAAGGCUGAUGGUUUGGCAGUUAUUGGUGUUUUGAUG
rnacentral:sRNA from 1 species